GCGCUCGCUUCGCAGCACGCCUACUAAAGCUGGAACCGUGAGAGAAGAUCAGCAUGGCCCCUGCACAGGGGUGACAUGCAAAUCCGUGACGCGUUCCAUAUUUAA
rnacentral:snRNA from 1 species